rnacentral:tRNA from 1 species
GCCCACUUAGCACAGUGGUAGUGCGUGUCACUUGUAAUGACAAGGUCGUUCGUUCAAUCCGGGCAGUGGGCA